GACAGAGGAUGCAAGCGUUAUCCGGAAUGAUUGGGCGUAAAGCGUCUGUAGGUGGCUUUUUAAGUCUGCCGUCAAAUCCCAGGGCUUAACCCUGGACAGGCGGUGGAAACUACCAAGCUGGAGUACGGUAGGGGCAGAGGGAAUUUCCGGUGGAGCGGUGAAAUGCGUAGAGAUGUGGAGGAAUACCGAUGGCGAAGGCAGCCUCCUGGGCCAACACUGACGCUCAUGCACGAAAGCGUGGGGAGCAAACAGG
rnacentral:rRNA from 1 species